rnacentral:rRNA from 1 species
GAUGAACGCUGGCGGCGUGCCUAAUACGUGCAAGUCGAGCGAACAGAUGAGGAGCUUGCUCCUCUGACGUUAGCGGCGGACGGGUGAGUAACACGUGGAUAACCUACCUAUAAGACUGGGAUAACUUCGGGAAACCGGAGCUAAUACCGGAUAAUAUAUUGAACCGCAUGGUUCAAUAGUGAAAGACGGUUUUGCUGUCACUUAUAGGUGGAUCCGCGCCGCAUUAGCUAGUUGGUAAGGUAACGGCUUACCAAGGCAACGAUGCGUAGCCGACCUGAGAGGGUGAUCGGCCACACUGGAACUGAGACACGGUCCAGACUCCUACGGGAGGCAGCAGUAGGGAAUCUUCCGCAAUGGGCGAAAGCCUGACGGAGCAACGCCGCGUGAGUGAUGAAGGUCUUCGGAUCGUAAAACUCUGUUAUUAGGGAAGAACAAAUGUGUAAGUAACUAUGCACGUCUUGACGGUACCUAAUCAGAAAGCCACGGCUAACUACGUG